AACGAACGCUGGCGGCAUGCCUAACACAUGCCAGUCGAACGAGACCUUCGGGUCUAGUGGCGCACGGGUGCGUAACGCGUGGGAACCUGCCCUUAGGUUCGGAAUAACUCCCCGAAAGGGGUGCUAAUACCGGAUAAUGUCUUCGGACCAAAGAUUUAUCGCCUUUGGAUGGGCCCGCGUUGGAUUAGCUAGUUGGUAGGGUAAAAGCCUACCAAGGCGACGAUCCAUAGCUGGUCUGAGAGGAUGAUCAGCCACACUGGGACUGAGACACGGCCCAGGCUCCUACGGGAGGCAGCAGUGGGGAAUAUUGGACAAUGGGCGAAAGCCUGAUCCAGCAAUGCCGCGUGAGUGAUGAAGGCCUUAGGGUUGUAAAGCUCUUUUACCCGGGAUGAUAAUGACAGUACCGGGAGAAUAAGCUCCGGCUAACUCCGUG
rnacentral:rRNA from 1 species